CAGCCGCCGCGGUAAUACAGAGGGUGCGAGCGUUAAUCGGAUCUACUGGGCGUAAAGCGUGCGUAGGCGGCUUUUUAAGUCGGAUGUGAAAUCCCUGAGCUUAACUUAGGAAUUGCAUUCGAUACUGGGAAGCUAGAGUAUGGGAGAGGAUGGUAGAAUUCCAGGUGUAGCGGUGAAAUGCGUAGAGAUCUGGAGGAAUACCGAUGGCGAAGGCAGCCAUCUGGCCUAAUACUGACGCUGAGGUACGAAAGCAUGGGGAGCAAACAGGAUUAGAUACCCCAGUAGUCCCUGUCUCUUAUAC
rnacentral:rRNA from 1 species